CCAAUACUCAACAGAAACUGCUCUGCACUGGCCCCACAUUAGGGGGUUCCUAUCUACGGUUUCUAAAUGUGAGCCCCUUGACACCUGCUGUGGCAGACACAACCAUCCCCAUGGAGGCGCUGAGAACAAUGAAGCACAGACAGGCCAGGGUCACCCAAAGCCGUGAUGACAGCCCGCUUUUCUCUGGUGGUUCUACUCAACCGCUCCACUGAGGUGAUGGGAGAGGUGAGGGGCCCAGGAGGAAGGUGGAGCUCAAAGGCACUGUCUUCAUAGUCCACAGGUCUCAAACUCCAGCAUCUCAGAAUGAAAGGAUUCACAAGUGCUCACAAGAGGCUUGGCUGCCAGGGGAAGCUCCGACCUGAAGAUUUGAACUAAUGAGGGACUAUAAAGGCCAAGACCUUGUUCUUGCCAUUUUAGAGAUUCAGAAUAUAAUCUACAAAGUUAGAGAUUAAAAAAAAAAAAAAAAAAAAAAA
rnacentral:lncRNA from 1 species